rnacentral:rRNA from 1 species
UUUUUGGAGAGUUUGAUCCUGGCUCAGGGUGAACGCUGGCGGCGUGCUUAAGACAUGCAAGUCGAACGGGCUCUUCGGAGCUAGUGGCGCACGGGUGAGUAACGCGUAACUGACCUACCCCAAAGUCGCGGAUAACGGUUCGAAAGAAUCGCUAAUACGUGAUGUGCUGCUCCCUCGUGUGGGAUCAGUAAAGGUUGACUGCUUUGGGAUGGGGUUGCGUUCCAUCAGCUAGUUGGUAGGGUAAAGGCCUACCAAGGCGACGACGGAU